UCUAGCAGUUUCAGAGUUUUAGAUCUUCUGUUGAGGUUCUUAAUCCAUUUGGAAUUGUAGUGAAUGCACGUGUGUGUGUGUGUGUGUGUGUGUGUGUGUGUGUGUGUGUGUGUGUGUGUGUGUGUGUGUGUGUGUGUGUGUGUGUUUUAAGAGAAAUUAAGAUAUAAAUAAACUCCUCUACACAUAGUAAUCCUGUAAGUAAAUUGGCUGCAAUUCUGUGGGUUUGCUUCUGGGUUUUGGCACCAACAAUGUAAGAAUAUUUGUUGCAACAACUCUGGGGAAAGGUGUCCUGACUUCCUAGGGGUCAGGCAACAACUUGGGCUGCUUAGGAUAGCUCUGAUACCUGAAGCUACAAGGAGACAGUUCAGCCCUGGAGGACAAGGUAUCCAAACAUCUUGAGCUGUUCAGUGAAACAGCUCUGCCCUGAAGGUAUCCCAGACACCCGGAGCUGUUUAGCACAGCUAUGAUGGCUGGAACUGCAAGGAGACAGUUUAUCCCUGGAGGACAAGGUAUCCCGGAAACUUCAAGCUGCUCAGAACAAGAGCUCUGUCCUGAUGGUGUCUUGGAUACCUGGAGAUGUUUAGCACAGCUCAGAAUACAAGAACUGCAAAGAAGUAGCCCAACUCUGGAAUGGAAAUUUUUCUCACUUCUUGGGAAAGUCAGGCCUAGAACUACUUCAGCAAGGAAGGAUACUCUGACUGUUUGGGAAAGUCAAGGUAUAUGUAGUAUGAUGGGGAUGGUCUUCCCACAGGAUAUAUCAAUCCUGCUCCUCUCCUAGAGAGCUGCUACAGCUGAACUUUGCUCAGGUACCUCUUAAGGGGCAUUCCUAGCAGAGCUCUGCUUCCUGGUAAGAUUCAUUUUAUGUUUUUUGUUUUUGUUUUUGUUUUUGUUUUUGUUAUUUUGUUUCACUCUGCAAGUGAGGAAACCUCUGCAGAAAUGUAGCAAUCUCCUCUGGCUCUGGAGAAAAAUGUUACUUUUCAGCUUUCUUGCUCUGUCCACUGAGCUUCCCGGUUUUGGCACCAACAUUGAUGUCUCAGCAAGGAUCUUCUCUAUGCCAGUGAAUGAUGAUCUUCACACUCAAAACACAUUUGAGAAAGAGAUUUGUUGCGGAAAGAGGUGUCCGGGAGAGUAGCUGCCUCUACCAUGGUGGAGAGAACAGCCUUUCUUCUAAAUGACCAGGCAGGGUGGUUUACACAGGAUGUCUUGGGCCUGGAUUCAACUAGGGGCUGACAUGGGGCCCAGGGUUCUACUGUCCUGCUAUGUGAUUGGUUGGUUUUAAAAGUCAGUUGGCCUGGGCAGAGAGAGCUCUGAUCUGACUGAGCCAAACUUUGUUUCUUUUUGCCCUGUUUCUGAGUCAUCUUUCCCUAGUUCUGGGCUCCAGGGUCAGGGUGGGUUUCCUUAGCCAGCCCCAUCUCCCUACAUUACUCCGUUUUUGUUUAGUAUUAAGCAUCUGUGGGUUGUAAAAGGGGCAAAGUUAUAGUUAGACUACUUCCUGCUGAAUUGGGGUGUUGAGGUUCUUGGGACAGUCUUGAUGCUCCUCCUAAUGAUGUAAUCAGGUUCUGCAGAUCCCUGGCUUUAUUAAUAAGGGCUGGUAAUCCUGUAAUAUUAACUGGUUCAGCAUUUGGUUAGAAAUAUUUUGGAUAUGUUGCUGAAGAAAACUAGCACAGAGUUUUAUGAGGCAGGGUGCAAUUAAUAAGACUAA